rnacentral:lncRNA from 1 species
GCGUGCAUGCGAAGUAAGGAAUCUGUACUUUCAAGCCUCCAUGAAGGUUUAAUUCAAAUUAAUUGAGAUUUGAUCUCUGGUUCUACUGCUAAUCAGGUAAGAAUUUGAUCUUUAUUCAUGUAGAUUAAUAAAAAAAAUUUUAGAUGCAACUUGAGCCUUUCGAAGAGAAACAGUUUCUCUUCCCUUCAUUAACGAUGACAAUCGACCAGUAGAGCUUACGACCAUGCUCAAGCCAAAAUAAUUUUUUAUUCUCUAUACAAUAGGGACAUGCCAGCUUUUCAUAAGUGCUCCAUCCUGAC